rnacentral:antisense_RNA from 1 species
UUUGGCAUCCGGCUUUUUCUGCAUAAUCGAAUUACCCACCGCAUGCAUCAGGUGAGUUUUACCUAAACCAACGCCACCAUA